GCCAAGUAGGAUUUUUUGUGCCAUUUCACAGAUGACCAAGGUAACCUAAGCAUGUUUCGGGCUUCAUUACAGCUUCACCGGGUGCCAGCACUGGUAGAUAGCAUCUUAAACAUGUGUCAGUCCAAAUCAGUUUUUCCCUUGUCUCAAGAGCUGGCUGCAAGCAGCCGCGGGUAUGUUCUUCUGGAGCAGGGGAGUGAUUUCUGAGCAAGGGAGUGAUUCCCUGUUAGAGACCUUUUGGUGGGAGUGCGGGGAGCCCGGGCAGCCCUGGUGUGCAGCCUGUCGCCAUGGCAACCGACUGCCUCACCAGUGAUGAGCUCUUGCUGUCUAUCAAAAAGCAUUAACUUUUAUAUGAUGUCUUUUUUAUUAUAGUUUCUGCACAUUUUGGCUUUCUUGACCCCUGGGGCCCAGCUGCACUGGUGAAAUGUUCCUUUCCAGGGAGUGGGAAAUGGCAUUUCUUUCUAUUUCUGCAGUGUUUACAACUGUGGAAGAGGCAUAGCAAAGGGAUGACUAGAAUUACUGUUAUCAGUCUCAGAAAAACUGCUGCUGCUGUCAGUGUUUCAGCCAGAAAUGGUCUGAUUUAGGCUUACCUUAAAAUGUGAGUAAUUUAGAAUAUUUGCCCCACUUCUCUUGAAUUUAGUCCUGUUCUUACUGGUGACAGCAGAGGAGGAGUCCUGUAGGGCACCCAUAAAGCAGGGCAGAGCCAGGAAGCACAGCAUGACCCUGAUGGAGCUGCAUCACAAGCAGGCUGCAGGAGUCGAUAUACUCCUGCAAUCAUCAGAUAUUUCUUCCUGAAAGGUAACACAGCGAGGAUGUAGCAAGAGGAGGACCUUCUGAUCUCCAGAGCUUCACCUAAACAACCUUUCCUCAUCUGGCUAUGAAAAUAUUAUGUAAGAGGGCAUUAAAGGCCUUGGAAGAGUCAAGAUAUAGGGCACCUAUACCUUUGUCUUUAUCUACAAGGCGAGUUAUCCUGUAAUAAAACAGAAUAAAUUAAAUUUGACAAGAUUGUUCCUCAAUAAGUCCAUGUCAGGCGUUACUCAUCCUUCUUUUAUCUUCCAUGUAUUCAUAAAAAACAUUGUUUAUUUCUAUAAUAUUCUAAGAGUUACAGCUUUGCAGACCAAUCUGUACUUCUUCAGUUCUAUUCUCUUAUGUUCAGACUCCUCCCUCAUCCUUUUCUAAACACAAGACACUGUAUUUGUCUAUUUAUAAUCUUUCUAAUAUUCUAAAACUUAUCCCAUAUGCAUACCAUGAUAUUGCCUCACCCUCUUGCCUGUAACAUUUACAAUUCCCUCAGUAAUUUUCAGGAUCAGUGAGUGCAUCUAGGUAGUCUUUAACCUAUUCCUAUUCCUACUCCUACUCCUAUCUCAUCUGUAGUUUUACCUUUUGAUGAUGAUGCUAAUGUUGUUAACCAUAUGAUCAAAUUUAAUACCAAUGAUGAAACAGAAACAUCCCCCA